UCUUUUUCUUUUGUUAUUAAUUCAAUUGACAAACUGAAAUUGAUAUAAAGUUUGUGUUACAACUUACAAGUCCCACUUUAAAGUUCUAUUCAUUGCACUUUGUAUUUCAGCUUCUAAUCACAAUCCAUUCCUGAUUUUGCUAGACCAAAUCAUGAUGGUCUGUACAGAGCUAUAGACAUCUACUUGAAGGAGCACCCGAAUUUGACAAAAGCUGAAAGGAAGAAGCUAUAUGGACUGAUGGAUGUCCGAAAAUUGACAGCAGAUGCUUUUGUGCAUACAGCACAGCAUGAACGCCUUCCUCUUCGAGUUAUAGUGCAUGUUCUCUUCUUUGAUUAGGUCAGGUCUUCUAUCUGCUUUCAAACACCCGGUAACAAUAGUGCACGCGACCCUUUAUGCUCUCCAAUGAACCGAGAUGAGGGAUAUGAGACAACAGCGGGAGAUAGCUGCCAAGCCACCCUCAAGAAUCAGAUGAGUCAUUUGAGGAUCAAGGAUGAAGAGUUACAUAAAAAUGGGAAAUUGAGCAAGAAAAAUAGCAAAAACAACAAAACUGACAUUCAAUUGUUGCCAUCGCGGUCAAGGAGAAUCUUUGACAAGUUAUGGAGUGUGUGAAAAGCGCAUGGAGAGAAUAGGAGUUCAGAGGCUUCUGGGAGUUUCAGUAGCCCAACUUCUUUAGGCCAGGGAGAUACCAAAUCAUAUGGCCUAUCUUUGAGACACCAGAUGCAUUCUAUCUCUUAGGGAAUUAGAAAAUUAUUUGCAACAAGUGAGAUUGAUUCAAAUUGUUGUCUAAGUAUAAAGUGGUAGGAUGUUAGCAUUAGUGGAGCUUUAGCAUGUUUGAAAAGUUGUAUGAUUCUUUUUCUUUUAUGCUUUUUGAUUAACUGGAAACAACAUUAUUUGCACA